rnacentral:lncRNA from 1 species
AUGGUACGAUCGAUCACGGGGAGGUGUGUCACUACGACUGUGUGUGUGUGUGUGUGUGUGUGUGUGUGUGUGUCUGUCGUCAUGGAAACAUGCUGCAGGGUUGGCGCUCCAGCAGCGAGGUGGUGCCGUGUUGCAUUGUGGGAACUGUCCGGGUCUUUAGCUGGUGUCCAUCGACUCCAUGUUGGCGGAGGUGGAGUCUCUCUGGAUGGAAUCAAAGAUGGCCGCCAGCUCCUGAUUGGAGGAGAUCUGGGACUGGAAUUCGGACAUGAGCGGCGACUUCUCGGCCACGGGGAUGAGACACGGGACGUCAGCCGAUCCGGCCCGGACGCCAGCUGCGGCAGGGGGCGGGGUCGGCGUACCUUGGUGGUGCAGGUGGCCCUCAGAGGCUCCACCAGUCUGUCCAGUCUCUGCAGGACGGCACUGGGACACAGCGAGGACAGCCGGGCCAGCAUCAGGAACGUCAGCAUCUGAAACGCAGAACCGGAGUUCAGACCUCUGAUCCGGUUCUCCACUGCUCCACCUCCGGGUCUGGGGGGAGGGACACCUUGAUGUCGUAGUGGUCCUUCAGGCCGUCCUCCACGUGGUUCAGGAAGGUGAAGAUGUCCAGUCGGUCCAGACAGCUGUCCAGCAGGGUGUACAUGCACUCGAACGCCGCUUUCCUCAGGUCCAGCCCGUCGUCCACCGUGUGCUUGAAGGGUCCCAUCUCCACCUGCACGGAGGGGCGGAGCUUAGGUAAAGAUUGACUCCCGGAGUCUCAGUAGGGGGCUGGGACGUCCCCUGUGGGUGAACCUGGCUCGGGUCAAUAACAGAACUAGAAAUGAGGCCUCCUGCAAUAAUGCUGGAGUGAAUGAAUACUUUUAGACUGAAAUUACUGACGCAGUUCACUUUAAUUCCUGACGGGAUUUUCUAAAUAAAAAUCCUAAAUCUAUUUGAAAAAUGUUACAUUUGAUAAACAGAGCUGAAGUAGAGCUGCAUUUCUGAGAAAUGUGUCAUUAAAUUGCUUAAAAAUCCUUCAUACGUGAACAU